AUUGAACGCUGGCGGCAGGCCUAACACAUGCAAGUCGAGCGGAUGAGUGGAGCUUGCUCCAUGAUUCAGCGGCGGACGGGUGAGUAAUGCCUAGGAAUCUGCCUGGUAGUGGGGGACAACGUUUCGAAAGGAACGCUAAUACCGCAUACGUCCUACGGGAGAAAGCAGGGGACCUUCGGGCCUUGCGCUAUCAGAUGAGCCUAGGUCGGAUUAGCUAGUAGGUGAGGUAAUGGCUCACCUAGGCGACGAUCCGUAACUGGUCUGAGAGGAUGAUCAGUCACACUGGAACUGAGACACGGUCCAGACUCCUACGGGAGGCAGCAGUGGGGAAUAUUGGACAAUGGGCGAAAGCCCGAUCCAGCCAUGCCGCGUGUGUGAAGAAGGUCUUCGGAUUGUAAAGCACUUUAAGUUGGGAGGAAGGGCAGUAAGUUAAUACCUUGCUGUUUUGACGUUACCAACAGAAUAAGCACCGGCUAACUUCGUGCCAGCAGCCGCCGCGGUAA
rnacentral:rRNA from 1 species